rnacentral:rRNA from 1 species
AUUGAACGCUGGCGGAAUGCUUUACACAUGCAAGUCGAACGGUAGAGGGGGCAACCCCUCGAGAGUGGCGAACGGGUGAGUAAUAUAUCGGAACGUGCCCAGUCGUGGGGGAUAACGUAGCGAAAGUUACGCUAAUACCGCAUACGAUCUAAGGAUGAAAGCGGGGGAUCGCAAGACCUCGCGCGAUUGGAGCGGCCGAUAUCAGAUUAGGUAGUUGGUGGGGUAAAGGCUCACCAAGCCAACGAUCUGUAGCUGGUCUGAGAGGACGACCAACCACAACGGAACGGAGACGCGGUCCAGACUCCUACGGGAGGCAGCAGUGGGGAAUUUUGGACAAUGGACGCAAGUCGGAUCCAGCCAUUCCGCGUGCAGGAUGAAGGCCCUCGGGUUGUAAACUGCUUUUGUGCGGAACGAAAAGGUCUCUCUUAAUACGGGGGGCUCAUGACGGUACCGUAAGAAUAAGCACCGGCUAACUACGUGCCAGCAGCCGCAGUAA